AUGGAAGGGGCCUUACGAAUCCGCCAGUGGAGGAGGAAGACUAGGCCACCUUCGGCCCAGAGCGCCUGCGAGUGCUUCCUCCCAGGCCACACAGCUAAACUAGCACUAUUAAACACAAACAAAGAAACAAAACAAAGAAACAAAGUCCCCCCACCCCCUCCAAAAAAAAAAACCCCCAGCACUGUUAAACGUGUACAAACGAGGCCCGGUCAGGUGAGAAAAGCGCGCGACUUCCGGCGGAGGAGGCGGUGUAACACCACUGCUUCCGGCCGCUGCGCCUGCGCCUGCGCACUGGGAAAGUGCGCACUGCGCCUGAGCACUCGGUGCUGGCUGCCUGCUGGAGAAACGUACCGACGGCUGGAGAGGAGUGGGCGCGGAGGACCUGCUGACUGUCGCUCCCGGAGGUCGCCCCGGAACCUGGACCGCCCACCAAGCUCUGCAGGGCCCUUGGCGCCUCAAGUGCCCCGCACCUGAAACACCCGGUGAGGCCAGAACUGGACAGCGGCUCGUAUCCAUCACUCACUCCGUGCCAAGAAGUGUCUUUAAACACUGCUGCUGUAUGCGUACAUUAACUCCGUUAAUCUUUCACAAGCCAGCGAGGUGGAUGCUUUUAUCCCUGUUGUAUAGGCUCGGAAACCGAGGCACGUAGCAGACGAACACAGCUGGUGGGUAGCAGCCAGAAUUUAAACCCCCAUAGACCGGCUCUGGACUUCAUGCUCUCAAUCCAUUGUGGAGAGCAGCCUCGCAGAAAAGAGCAAAGGGUUCUGCUGGUGUGUAGUUUAAAACAUCUCAUUUUAUGUCACUUUUGCAUAUUGUGAAAUCUAAUGAAGCUUGGUUAUUUAAAAUCUGUCCCUUAGGAUUUAAAAGUAGUCAAAUUUGCAUGUGGGACAAAACCCCAAAAUGUGUAGUGGUUUGCACUACUCUUUUUCUUCCACACAUUCCUCUGGUCCCAUGCUUUUCUUCAUCUUCCAUCUCCUCAUAGGUGAGCGGGUGGGGGAAUGAGAAGCCGAGGACUUGUAGGCUCACCAAGUGCUUUGAAGUCUCCUGGGGUCUGGUGGAUAGACAGGCACCACCUCCCCCCCACCCCCGGCCCCAGUGCAGGGGCUGAGAGAAGAGGGGGCUGGUGGGACUGGGCAGAGUGAAAACUCGGAGAAAGGUCUGGCAUAGGU
rnacentral:lncRNA from 1 species